rnacentral:rRNA from 1 species
AGCGAACGCUGGCGGUAGGCCUAACACAUGCAAGUCGAACGAGAGGCGGACGGGUGAGGGAUACAGUGGAACCUACUCUGCCGAGGGGGCUAACGUAGGGAAACUUACGCUAAUACCGCAUACGAUUGAAUCGGCCGACGCCGGAUUAGCUAGUUGGCGGGGUAAAGGCCCACCAAGGCGACGAUCCGUAGCUGGUCUGAGAGGAGGAUCGGCCACACUGGAACUGAGACACGGUCCAGACUCCUACGGGAGGCAGCAGUGGGGAAUAUUGGACAAUGGGCGCAAGUCUGAUCCAGCCAUACCGCGUGAGUGAAGAAGGCCUUCGGGUUGUAAAGCCCUUUUGUUGGGAAAGCGGUACCCAAAGAAUAAGCACCGGCUAACUUCGUGCCAGCAGCCGCGGUAAUAC